rnacentral:rRNA from 1 species
GACGAACGCUGGCGGCGUGCUUAACACAUGCAAGUCGAACGGGAACCUUUAUUUCGGUAAAGGUGAGAGUGGCAAACGGGUGAGUAACACGUAGGCAACCUGCCGACAGGAUGGGGACAACAUUCCGAAAGGAAUGCUAAUACCGAAUGGAGUCCGAGGAUGGCAUCAUCCUUGGAUCAAAGAUGGCCUCUGAAUAUGCUAUCGCCUGUCGAUGGGCCUGCGUCUGAUUAGCCAGUUGGCGGGGUAACGGCCCACCAAAGCGACGAUCAGUAGCCGGUCUGAGAGGAUGAACGGCCACAUUGGGACUGAGACACGGCCCAGACUCCUACGGGAGGCAGCAGUGGGGAAUCUUCCACAAUGGGCGAAAGCCUGAUGGAGCAACGCCGCGUGAGUGAAGAAGGUCUUCGGAUCGUAAAGCUCUGUUGCACGGGACGAAAAC